GUUCUCUCAAUGGUCUCUCAGGGGUCUCUCAGUGGUCUCUCACUGAUCUCUCAGGGGUCUCUCAAUGUUCUCUCAAUGUUCUCUCAGAGGUCUCUCAGUGGUCUCUCACUGAUCUCUCAGUGGUCUCUCAAUGUUCUCUCAAUGGUCUCUCAGGGGUCUCUCAGGGGUCUCUCACUGAUCUCUCAGUGGUCUCUCAGGGGUCUCUUAGUGGUAUCUCAGGGGUCUCUCAGUGGUCUCUCACUGGUCUCUCAGAGGUCUCUCAAGGGUCUCUCAGAGGUCUCUCAGUGGUCUCUCAGUGGUCUCUCAGAGGUCUCUCAGUGGUCUCUCAGGGGU
ensembl:lncRNA